GACGAACGCUGGCGGCGUGCUUAACACAUGCAAGUCGAACGGAAAGGCCCUGCUUUUGUGGGGUGCUCGAGUGGCGAACGGGUGAGUAACACGUGAGUAACCUGCCCUUGACUUUGGGAUAACUUCAGGAAACUGGGGCUAAUACCGGAUAGGAGCUCCCGCUGCAUGGUGGGGGUUGGAAAGUUUCGGCGGUUGGGGAUGGACUGGCGGCUUAUCAGCUUGUUGGUGGGGUAGUGGCUUACCAAGGCUUUGACGGGUAGCCGGCCUGAGAGGGUGACCGGCCACAUUGGGACUGAGAUACGGCCCAGACUCCUACGGGAGGCAGCAGGGGGGAAUAUUGCACAAUGGGCGGAAGCCUGAUGCAGCAACGCCGCGUGCGGGAUGACGGCCUUCGGGUUGUAAACCGCUUUCGCCUGUGACGAAGCGUGAGUGACGGUAAUGGGUAAAGAAGCACCGGCUAGCUACGUG
rnacentral:rRNA from 1 species